rnacentral:lncRNA from 1 species
GGGUGAUUGAGCAAACUACGAUGACGAUGAAACUUUUUUUUUGAGAGCUAGGUAGCAUGUUAUUCACUUUAUUUAUUUAUUUUAAAAAUAAAUUUAGCUAGAAAUGUGAAUCAACUAGUAUUCGAACUUAGGAACUCAGGUACAAACCACCAAACGCUUUGCCAUUUGCGUCAGGGACGGUCGGUGAUGACGGUGAAAAUAAGAAAAGAAAUUGAAGGAAAUGUCACUAUCAGUCGAGAAACCUGUUAGCGAAGGUCAAAAUUAUAAGAAAUAGGAAAAGGAAAGUGAUACUCAAAAGCAGGAUAGGAGAGCGGGGAUGUAUUUCUUACCGCCGUCAGUCGAGAAUUAGUAGCAGAUUAGGGUUGUAUACUUAGAUUUGGAGGCGUAUAUAUAUUAGGGCAGAGCGAGCAAGGGAAGGAAAAUGGGGAAAGUUUACCCGAACAUUUAAGCCGUUGUUUGGUUAUACAUAAUUGUAACGACACUACAGUUAUAACAAAGUGCAGAUCCAUAUAUGGCAUUUGGUUUGAUAUAUUUAAAUUCAAGUGCUGUAAUUAAAAUGACACG